GCCCUUAGAGUUUGAUCAUGGCUCAGGACGAACGCUGGCGGCGCGCCUAACACAUGCAAGUCGAACGAGCGAUGGAGAGCUUGCUUUCCAGAGCGAGUGGCGAACGGGUGAGUAACGCGUGAGGAACCUGCCUCAAAGAGGGGGACAACAGUUGGAAACGACUGCUAAUACCGCAUAAGCCCACGGCUCGGCAUCGAGCAGAGGGAAAAGGAGUGAUCCGCUUUGAGAUGGCCUCGCGUCCGAUUAGCUAGUUGGUGAGGUAACGGCCCACCAAGGCGACGAUCGGUAGCCGGACUGAGAGGUUGAACGGCCACAUUGGGACUGAGACACGGCCCAGACUCCUACGGGAGGCAGCAGUGGGGAAUAUUGCACAAUGGGGGAAACCCUGAUGCAGCGACGCCGCGUGGAGGAAGAAGGUCUUCGGAUUGUAAACUCCUGUUGUUGAGGAAGAUAAUGACGGUACUCAACAAGGAAGUGACGGCUAACUACGUGCCAGCAGCCGCGGUAAAACGUAGGUCACAAGCGUUGUCCGGAAUUACUGGGUGUAAAGGGAGCGCAGGCGGGAGAACAAGUUGGAAGUGAAAUCCAUGGGCUCAACCCAUGAGCUGCUUUCAAAACUGUUUUUCUUGAGUAGUGCAGAGGUAGGCGGAAUUCCCGGUGUAGCGGUGGAAUGCGUAGAUAUCGGGAGGAACACCAGUGGCGAAGGCGGCCUACUGGGCACCAACUGACGCUGAGGCUCGAAAGUGUGGGUAGCAAACAGGAUUAGAUACCCUGGUAGUCCACACCGUAAACGAUGAUUACUAGGUGUUGGAGGAUUGACCCCUUCAGUGCCGCAGUUAACACAAUAAGUAAUC
rnacentral:rRNA from 1 species